rnacentral:rRNA from 1 species
GAUGAACGCUGGCGGCGUGCCUAAUACAUGCAAGUCGAGCGAACAGAUGAGGAGCUUGCUCCUCUGACGUUAGCGGCGGACGGGUGAGUAACACGUGGAUAACCUACCUAUAAGACUGGGAUAACUUCGGGAAACCGGAGCUAAUACCGGAUAAUAUAUUGAACCGCAUGGUUCAAUAGUGAAAGACGGUUUUGCUGUCACUUAUAGAUGGAUCCGCGCCGCAUUAGCUAGUUGGUAAGGUAACGGCUUACCAAGGCAACGAUGCGUAGCCGACCUGAGAGGGUGAGCGGCCACGCUGGAAGUGAGACACGGUCCAGACUCCUACGGGGGGCAGCAGUAGGGAAUCUUCCGAAAGGGGCGAAAGCCUGACGGAGCAACGCCGCGUGAGUGAUGAAGGUCUUCGGAUCGUAAAACUCUGUUAUUAGGGAAGAAAAAAUGUGUAAGUAACUAUGCACGUCUUGACGGUACCUAAUCAGAAAGCCACGGCUAACUACG